GCUGGGCAUGGUGGCGUGCGCCUGUAAUCCCAGUUACUCAGGAGGCUGAGGCAGGAGAAUCGCUUGAACCCAGGAGUCGGAGGUUGCAGUGAGCCAAGAUCACGCCACUGCACUCCAGCCUGGGUGACAAAGUGAGACUCUGUCUCAA
rnacentral:SRP_RNA from 1 species